rnacentral:misc_RNA from 1 species
AACUGCGAUAAGUAAUGUGAAUUGCAGAAUUCAGUGAAUCAUCGAGUCUUUGAACGCACAUUGCGCCCCCUGGCAUUCCGGGGGGCAUGCCUGUCCGAGCGUCAUUGCUGCCCUUCAAGCCCGGCUUGUGUGUUGGGUCGUCGUCCCCUCCGGGGGACGGGCCCGAAAGGCAGCGGCGGCACCGCGUCCGGUCCUCGAGCGUAUGGGGCUUUGUCACCCGCUCGAUAAGGACCGGCCGGGCGCCAGCCGGCGUCUCCAACCUUUUUUUCUCAGGUUGACCUCGGAUCAGGUGGGGAUACCCGCUGAACUUAAGC